rnacentral:rRNA from 1 species
UACAGAGGUCUCAAGCGUUGUUCGGAUUCAUUGGGCGUAAAGGGUGCGUAGGCGGCGCGGUAAGUCGGGUGUGAAAUCUCGGAGCUUAACUCCGAAACUGCAUUCGAUACUGCCGUGCUUGAGGACUGGAGAGGAGACUGGAAUUUACGGUGUAGCGGUGAAAUGCGUAGAUAUCGUAAGGAAGACCAGUGGCGAAGGCGGGUCUCUGGACAGUUCCUGACGCUGAGGCACGAAAGUGUGGGGGAUCAAACAGG